UACGUAGGGGGCAAGCGUUGUCCGGAAUCAUUGGGCGUAAAGAGCGUGUAGGCGGUCCUGUAAGUCCGCUGUGAAAGUCAAGGGCUCAACCCUUGAAUGCCGGUGGAUACUGCAGGACUAGAGUCCGGAAGAGGCGAGUGGAAUUCCUGGUGUAGCGGUGAAAUGCGCAGAUAUCAGGAGGAACACCGAUGGCGAAGGCAGGUCUCUGGGCCACUACUGACGCUGAGAAGCGAAAGCAUGGGGAGCGAACAGG
rnacentral:rRNA from 1 species